rnacentral:lncRNA from 1 species
GCUAGAUGGUUACCGAGGAGACUUUGAGACCUUCAUCAAGAGCAAGCAGGAGCGGCUACUCAACCAGCAGCGCGAGUAUGAGGCACAGCAGCAGUAUCGACAGCACAUCCAGGUUUUCAUUGACCGCUUCCGGUACAAUGCAAACAGAGCCUCUCAAGUGCAGAGUAAACUGAAGAUGCUGGAGAAGCUACCUGAACUAAAGCCGGUGGACAAGGAGUCGGAGGUGGUGUUGAAGUGAGUGCUAAGCCGGGGAGCUGAGGGGAGCUGGCAUUUCUGGCUGCCUGCACACUCCACCCUUGCACCUCCUAUAGGUUCCCUGAUGGCUUUGAGAAGUUCUCACCGCCAAUCCUGCAGCUGGAUGAGGUGGAUUUCUACUACGACCCUAAGCACAUCAUCUUCAGCCGCCUGUCUGUCUCUGCCGAUCUCGAGUCCCGCAUCUGCGUGGUCGGGGAGAAUGGGGCUGGGAAAUCCACUAUGCUGAAGCUGCUCAUGGGGGACCUGGCUCCUGUUCGGGGUAUCAGGCAUGCCCACAGGAAUCUGAAGAUAGGCUAUUUCAGCCAGCACCAUGUGGAGCAGCUAGACUUGAAUGUCAGUGCUGUGGAACUCCUGGCUCGAAAAUUUCCUGGGCGACCUGAAGAGGAAUAUCGUCACCAGUUGGGCCGCUAUGGUAUCUCCGGGGAGCUGGCCAUGCGCCCUGUUGCGAGC